rnacentral:rRNA from 1 species
GACGAACGCUGGCGGCGUGCUUAACACAUGCAAGUCGAACGGAAAGGCCCUGCUUUUGUGGGGUGCUCGAGUGGCGAACGGGUGAGUAACACGUGAGUAACCUGCCCUUGACUUUGGGAUAACUUCAGGAAACUGGGGCUAAUACCGGAUAGGAGCUCCUGCUGCAUGGUGGGGGUUGGAAAGUUUCGGCGGUUGGGGAUGGACUCGCGGCUUAUCAGCUUGUUGGUGGGGUAGUGGCUUACCAAGGCUUUGACGGGUAGCCGGCCUGAGAGGGUGACCGGCCACAUUAGGACUGAGAUACGGCCCAGACUCCUACGGGAGGCAGCAGUGGAGAAUAUUGCACAAUGGGCGGAAGCCUGAUGCAGCAACGCCGCGUGCGUGAUGACGGCCUUCGGGUUGUAAACCGCUUUCGCCUGUGACGAAGCGUGAGUGACGGUAAUGGGUAAAGAAGCACCGGCUAACUACGUG